rnacentral:rRNA from 1 species
UACGUAGGGUGCAAGCGUUGUCCGGAAUUAUUGGGCGUAAAGAGCUCGUAGGCGGUCUGUCGCGUCUGCUGUGAAAACUCGGGGCUUAACCCCGGGCCUGCAGUGGGUACGGGCAGACUUGAGUUCGGUAGGGGAGACUGGAAUUCCUGGUGUAGCGGUGAAAUGCAUAGAUAUCGUCAAGAACACCGAUAGCGAAGGCAGCUUACCAAGCUGUAACUGACACUGAGGCACGAAAGUGUGGGGAUCAAACAGG